GUGACUCAGUGAAUACAAGAGGCUUAGUUAUGGGUGGAGCAAGCAAGCCAAGGGACUAAGGGAGUAGUGCUAGUGGCCGGAGGCGAAGCAAGCAAGGGAGGUUGGGACUGAGAGGUGAAAAUAAAAAUACAAUUUCAAUAAUAAAAAAAGAAGAAGAAAAAGUAAAGCAAUACGUUUGAAGAAGUAAAACAACAUGCCCAUAACAUAACGAAUAAGAAACACAUAAAUAACAUAACCCAACAAAGAAGAAAAAGCUAAAUAGGAAUAUUUCAUGAUGUGUAAUAGGAGAUGACUAGCACUUCGAAUUUAAAGGAAUUUAUGUUAUUUGGUUUCAUAGUUUAGGGAUUCAUCAGCUGACAGUUGGUCUAGAUCAUUGGUCCAGAUACAACUUCACGAAUGAGUUUCUAUUUGGUUUCAAUGAUUUUUAACUUGUCUUCAUUGUCUUGCUCUGGUUAGCUUUGUUACGGAAAAAAGUUUGCAUUUAACUAGAAACUCAUGGUGUCAGGGUUUAUUCCAAGAAAUCCACUAAUUACUUCUUCAACUAUGUUUGUAGGUACCACUGAAAACACAUGAAAAGAAGUCUAUCUUAAAGUUUUUCUCAACAAUGAAAGUUAAAAAGGAACAAGAAUCAAACAUGGAACAAAGUGUGUGCGAUGAAUAUGUCAAAAAAAAUUUGCUGAAUAACUUAAAGGAGGAACCUAAAAGCAGAGAUGAUAGACUUGCAUCCUUAACAGAUAAAACCGUUCACCUCUUUUAGUAAGCAAUUCACCAUUCACUUUAGCAUACUUUAAAUGACAACACAAUCAGUCGCUCGCAAAAUAAAACCAAUCAAAUGCAUUGCAAAUAACUUCAAUUAACAUCAAGUGCUUUCUUUUACACAACAAAUCAAUAAGAACAACAGAAGAACACAUGCAACCUCAAAUCCCCCUUAAAAACGCUUCUUUUCCUUUGAUUAAUUAAUGCUUUUAACAAUUUAAACCCAAAAUGAAACAACUUCCAAUUCCCUGUUAGAACGAACCAACAAAGCCUAUAUACUUAAUCAUGAAGUAAAGAAAAAAAAAGAAAUCACCCACUAAUAAAAAACAUAAAGGUCUUUUUUUUAAAAUGGUGCAAUAUAAAACCAAAAGAGCUAAAAACCUCAGUAAAUGAAUGAUAUUAAGUUAUUAACAUACAAGGAAAAUGAUCAUAGUUUAUAUGAAGAAAAAAUACCUGAAACUAGGUUAAAAUUUCUGGGUCUGUUACAGAAAACAAAGAAAGAAAGGAGAAGCCUUUGUAAAUUUUUACUUAGAGAGAGAAAAACAGAAGCAGCUCUCUUCUGGCCUUUCUCUAUGGCAUGCUCGAGAAGAAUUUGGGGCUACUGGCCGAAGGCGAAGCAAGCAAUGAAGGAGAUAAAGGAAAGACAAAUAAGGGGACAGAGGGCAAAUUAGGGCGUGAAAACUAAAACGGAUGUAAACUGAGGAGAAGGCAGGGAUUAGAAAACAGAGAAUUUCGGGGAUU
rnacentral:lncRNA from 1 species